AUCCCAAGAUUCUGCUCCCAUUCUGCUCUCUUCCACGGCAGACAACGCCCAAUUCCUCCUCCACACAGGGAGCCUGAGACCUUGACAUUCUAUUCCAGGCCUCACCAUGGAGGCCCGCUGGAGACUCGAUGGAGGAAAAGGAUGAAAUAAUGCCACCAAGACAACUGGUGGUGGGAAGACCUGGUCUCCCUAACUUCACAGUGUGAGGUGCAUGGAAGGAGAAGUUUCUUGAGACCACGUGGACGAUAAAUUGCCAAGGAGAAUAAAGGAGUGCAGGGACAAGUCAUCUGAGAGUGUCUCAAAGUCAAGGUUCACUGGAUCACUGCAAACAGAGCCCACUAGGCUAUGACUGAUGCUGCAAGCCAGAAUCACCAGCUCAAGAAAGACAGAGAUGGGUCAUACUGAGAUGAAAAUGAAAUUGUCAUCAACUUCAUCUACAAUUCUUUAUAAUUUGCAAUGUUUGAAGCUGUCCUGUAGAGCAAGAGAAGAGCAACUAUGACAGGUGGGCUCUAAUUCAAUAGCACUGUUGUCCUUAUAAGAAGAAGAUACUAGUAUGCAGACAAUACAGACACAGGAAUGAUCAUGUAAAGACACGGGGAGAAAGUAGCCAUUGUGAGCCAAGGAGAGAGACCACAGAA